GAUGAAGAACGUAGCGAAAUGCGAUACGUAGUGUGAAUUGCAGAAUUCAGUGAAUCAUCGAAUCUUUGAACGCACAUUGCGCCCUUUGGUAUUCCAAAGGGCAUGCCUGUUCGAGCGUCAUUUGUACCCUCAAGCUUUGCUUGGUGUUGGGCGUUUUUGUCUUUGGCCCACCAAAGACUCGCCUUAAAAUGAUUGGCAGCCGGCCUACUGGUUUCGCAGCGCAGCACAUUUUUGCGCUUGCAAUCAGCAAAAGAGGACGGCAAUCCAUCAAGACUCCUUCUCACGUUUGACCUCGGAUCAGGUAGGGAUACCCGCUGAACUUAAGCAUAUCAAUAAGCGGAGGA
rnacentral:misc_RNA from 1 species